GACAUUGAACAAUCAAUUAGUUUUUUUUUUUUAUUCCACUGAUUUAUGUAAAAUUUAAAAAUUAUAAUUAAUUAAUAUUUGAAAUCCUAGUUCUAAAAUUCAUUGUAGAGUAAUGAAGGUUGAAGAUGAAUUGAAACACAGACUCAUUGCAGAGUGCAGAGCAGUAGAGAAAGUUCAAGUUCCAGCAAGCUUUAACUAUGUAAAUGUGGAGUCACAGCACUCAUUUGGACUACAAUGACAGAUGGAAACAAUGGAAAGAAAUUUCACAGCUCUGGUCGACUAAUAGGUAUAGUAUGGAAGAGAAGAGAUGCAUCUUCUUUCAAUUGGUUGACGACGGAACGCCUUGUAGUAGAUAUAAAAGAAUAUUUAACAAUUUGAAUGAGAAGAUAAAAGGUUGUGAGGAUGAAAUUGAGGGCUAUAAGGAUUCAAUUGAGCUGGGGAGGUUGAAUUGAUGACAGUGGUAAAGCAAACUCGGAUGCUUAUCAGGCUUUUGGAGAAUGAUCUAAGAAUUGAAAAUGAAGUGAAGCACUUGCUUGAAUAAGAGACAACUCUAAAGCAAUUGGUGGAAUACAUGCAAUAUGCAAUGAGGCUCAGAAGACAGAGUAAUGAAGGUUGAAGAUGAAUUGAAACACAGACUCAUUGCAGAGUGCAGAGCAGUAGAGAAAGUUCAAGUUCCAGCAAGCUUUAACUAUGUAAAUGUGGAGUCACAGCACUCAUUUGGACUACAAUGACAGAUGGAAACAAUGGAAAGAAAUUUCACAGCUCUGGUCGACUAAUAGGUAUAGUAUGGAAGAGAAGAGAUGCAUCUUCUUUCAAUUGGUUGACGACGGAACGCCUUGUAGUAGAUAUAAAAGAAUAUUUAACAAUUUGAAUGAGAAGAUAAAAGGUUGUGAGGAUGAAAUUGAGGGCUAUAAGGAUUCAAUUGAGCUGGGGAGGUUGAAUUGAUGACAGUGGUAAAGCAAACUCGGAUGCUUAUCAGGCUUUUGGAGAAUGAUCUAAGAAUUGAAAAUGAAGUGAAGCACUUGCUUGAAUAAGAGACAACUCUAAAGCAAUUGGUGGAAUACAUGCAAUAUGCAAUGAGGCUCAGAAGACAGGUAUAGAUUUUGUAUUUGUAGUAGUUAGUAAGUUAUCUUCAUUAUGCACAGAAGGUGUUUGUAAAAAUGUCUGUGUUAAGUGAAUUGGCACAAAAUUGCCCAUGACUAUGUUAUCUGUGUAAUUCUGCUUGAUAUGAUGAAAUGGAAUGUUUAUGUUAUGUUAUUAAAAUAAUUGACUCAUGAUAAAUGCAUAAUCAGCUGUACAAAAGCAAUUCAUGCUCUCAAUCUAUCAUGUAUUCUUCUGUA